rnacentral:rRNA from 1 species
UGGGGAAUAUUGCACAAUGGAGGAAACUCUGAUGCAGCAACGCCGCGUGGAGGAUGACACAUUUCGGUGCGUAAACUCCUUUUAUAUGGGAAGAUAAUGACGGUACCAUAUGAAUAAGCACCGGCUAACUCCGUGCCAGCAGCCGCGGUAAUACGGAGGGUGCAAGCGUUACUCGGAAUCACUGGGCGUAAAGCGCGCGCAGGCGGUCUUUUAAGUUGGAUGUGAAAGCCUACGGCUCAACCGUAGAACUGCAUCCAAAACUAUUAGACUAGAGUGUGGGAGAGGAAGAUGGAAUUAGUUGUGUAGGGGUAAAAUCCGUAGAGAUAACUAGGAAUACCAAAAGCGAAGGCAAUCUUCUGGAACACUACUGACGCUGAGGCGCGAAAGCGUGGGGAGCAAACG